UGGGAAUUUACUCUUAUAACAGUAACAACCAUUAAAUGUUUUAUAACACUUACAUAACAAACUAAUCAACAAUUUCUAACAAAUAAUAAUGUAUAAUGCUGAUUAAUGGGAAACUUAAAAUGUUAAUUAAGUAGUAACUAUUUUAGCGACUAACAUGCAAGACUGUCACUGUAUAGUACACAUAGAAAACUUAACACACCUUGGGUAAAUAAGUGACUUAAAUAAUUAGUUUAAUGCUGUCAUGUGGUAAUGGUAUUUCAUUGUUUAUUUUAUACAAAACUUGCCAGGAAAAGUCCUGAGUGUGAUAAAUAUGUUACACAGAUCAUGACUGACCCCACAGGAUCCAUAGAGGAUCAAUAUAUAGCUAACUAUAUAACUUAUCAUAUUUGUGUUUGCAAAAUAUAAGAUUUAUAUUUACAAAUAUCAAAAUAUAUUUAAUUCUUUCAAGUAUUCCUUGAUUCAAUUUUGUCUAAGUCAUGUAUGUGAUUCAUUCUGAAUCAUUAGAACAGCUGCAGUAGUUGCGUAGGAAAUAAUCUGGAUAAUUUAUAAGUGUUAAUUUAUAAUAUGGAAAAUAAAGAUUCAGUCUUUCAUUGUUAUUAAAAUUGUGACAAAUAGUUAUCCAAUUCCAAAGUUUUAUCAUAGAUGAUGCAGAUCUAUAUGUAAAAACACACAUACAUUUGUAUACUUAACAAACAAAGCCAUCACUUGAUCAUCAAAACAGACAUUUUAUACAACAAACAUUUAAA
rnacentral:lncRNA from 1 species